GACGUAGGGCGCGAGCGUUGUCCGGAUUUAUUGGGCGUAAAGAGCUCGUAGGCGGCUUGUCGCGUCGAAUGUGAAAACUCGGGGCUCAACCCCGCGCUUGCAUUCGAUACGGGCAGGCUCGAGUUCGGUAGGGGAGACUGGAAUUCCUGGUGUAGCGGUGAAAUGCGCAGAUAUCAGGAGGAACACCGGUGGCGAAGGCGGGUCUCUGGACAUUUCCUGACGCUGAGGCACGAAAGCCAGGGGAGCAAACGGG
rnacentral:rRNA from 1 species